AGUGAACGCUGGCGGUAGGCCUAACACAUGCAAGUCGAACGGCAGCACAGUAAGAGCUUGCUCUUACGGGUGGCGAGUGGCGGACGGGUGAGGAAUACAUCGGAAUCUACUUUUUCGUGGGGGAUAACGUAGGGAAACUUACGCUAAUACCGCAUACGACCUACGGGUGAAAGCAGGGGAUCUUCGGACCUUGCGCGAUUGAAUGAGCCGAUGUCGGAUUAGCUAGUUGGCGGGGUAAAGGCCCACCAAGGCGACGAUCCGUAGCUGGUCUGAGAGGAUGAUCAGCCACACUGGAACUGAGACACGGUCCAGACUCCUACGGGAGGCAGCAGUGGGGAAUAUUGGACAAUGGGCGCAAGCCUGAUCCAGCCAUACCGCGUGGGUGAAGAAGGCCUUCGGGUUGUAAAGCCCUUUUGUUGGGAAAGAAAAGCAGCAGGUUAAUACCCCGCCGCUCUGACGGUACCCAAAGAAUAAGCACCGGCUAACUUCGUG
rnacentral:rRNA from 1 species